CGUACACACACACACACACACACACACACACACACUUUUCUGAAUGUCCAACAAGCUCCAUAUGCUUCUCGCUCCGACCUCUGAGAAGGCAGGAGCAUGCUCAAGAUGCUGUGAGAGUAUCACAGUCCCACCAUCCACAGGGCAUGGUGCUCACUGAAAACUGCAUCUAUGACACGCAUAAUCACCAGCUCUCAACUCAAUUGAACCAUCCACUACCAUCGUCAUAUCACCAACAUGGAGAAUAUCACUUCAUGUACAGUUCCAGACACUUCUAAAGUCAAGAUGCACUGAAGCUGUUCUGGUGGCUCAUCAUGGCCCAGCACGAAGACUCUAGGACUACCGCUUUUUUUUUUUUGCCUUUAAUUUGUCCUCCAUCUGUAUAUUUAGAUUGCAAAGGUAAUUUAAUUAAAGGUGUAAGCUAUGAUUUGUGCUGCCAGCCUUUUCCACACACUUAUUAGCUGGCAAUAAGAUAUCUCCAGAGAGGAAGGUUCAUGAUCAUUGUCGCAUAUUAUGCUUUAAAAAACUAGAAAAAUGAUGAGGAAACCUACCUGCUUCUCUUUUUACAUCAGUAUUCAAAUGUUUUUGGAUGUGGCUUUGGAGAAAACACUGAAGCAGGAAACAGCAAUUCAAUUCUGAGCUUUAAAACUAAAAAAAUAAAUAAAAAGAAAUCACUGAUUCUACAUUUUUUAUAUAUCAAAUAUUUUUUUUUUAAAUAGUGACAUUUACUAGUUAAUUAUAUUUUAUCACUGACAUAUUUUAUCAUCUUGCCAAAUUGUCAGUUGAUGUCAUUUAAGGCCUAUACAAAUUUAUCAAUGACUAAAUGGGUUACACCGCUGCGUUGUAAUGAGACUCAAUUGAUUAAAGAAAAUGUCUCAAUGUGAAGUAUGUGGAAAGAGUGCUAAAUAGCCAUUUGGUUAAAUGUGUUAAAUAGCCAUUUGGUUCAAAAAUAUCAAACCUGUCCUUCAGUUUAACAACCUUAACUGCUAUCAUAAAUAUCAACUCAUUCCCAAUGUUAAAAUGAUGAGUCCCCAAUGUUAACAUAGCUGUUGAGUGCCAGUGUAAAAGCAUGGAGAGUCCAUUUCGCUGCUUUCUGAUGGUGUGGAAAGUCUUUAACGUAGUUAAAGCAGAGUGCUGCUUCUUUUCUCGAACCAACAGGGCCUUCGCUCUCCAGCAGCUCCAACACUACAGAGCUACUUACUCUUUACAACUCCUGGCUGACAAAUUCAGCCUGCAAUAAAACAGCAUGCAGGGGGGAAAAAAAAAACCUGUGCAAGUCUCAACGACGCCAUGACAAACAGUCUGGAAGCCAGAUGCUAUCUGCCUGAUGCUUGACAGUGCACAGAUGCAGCUUGCUUUUCCCUGCCCUUGUUUUCAUUCGCUUUAUUUCUCGCUCAUUUUCUUCAUUGAUGGAUCAGUGGAGUGACCUGAGAGCUGCUAAAACACAUCGAAUCACCAUGUGUUUGCAUUUUACAGCUCAUAUACUGCCUCCGAGCAGGUUGACAAUAACUCAGACUCAUAUGUAGGAGGAAAUAGAGUGACAUAUUAAAGACAGGCUGGUUUAACUAUUCCAGAUUUGAUGAAAAAUAAUAACAACUUAUGGCAAUAUACAAAAAAUGCUGCAUUAUGAUUUAAUUAAAAAAUUUUAUGCAAGAUUUUACGGUGCAACAUGUGACAAGAUUCAUGAUACAUGUUACAAGAUUCAAAACAAAAAAAUGCUGUGAGUGUUGCUUCACUCUGGGUGUGAUUUUGAGUGUAUACACUGUCUAUAAACUAUACAGCAUUUCUUUAGUAAACCUGCAGAGCUUCACAGUCAGACAUAAUGACAUUUAACCAGAGAGAGACACUGCUGGAUAAUCAAUACACAUUUAACAGAUGGGUCAAGGUGUCUCUCUUAGCGUUCAUGAACCUGCUAUCACACACACACACACACACUGUACAAUAGAUAAUCUCCCCCUCUUCCCCUUUCUCUCACUGUGCACAAGCUGCACUUACUGAACCAAAUUCCUCUGGAAAAUAUGUCUAGAUUGUAUUACAGAAGUAUUUGUGCAUGUUAGUUAAGUGAUGCAAUAAAACAGACCUCAGUCUGUGUUGCUGACUUCUAAUAAAAACGUCAUUUUCAUAACAAA